UACGGGGGGGGCGAGCGUUGUUCGGAUUUACUGGGCGUAAAGGGCGCGCAGGCGGCCAACUAAGUCCGACGUGAAAUCCCAAGGCUUAACCUUGGAACUGCGUCGGAUACUGGAUGGCUUGAAUUCGGGAGAGGGAUGCAGAAUUCCAGGUGUAGCGGUGAAAUGCGUAGAUAUCUGGAGGAAUACCGGUGGCGAAGGCGGCAUCCUGGACCGACAUUGACGCUGAUGAGCGAAAAGCUAGGGGGAGCAAACGGGG
rnacentral:rRNA from 1 species